GAUUUCAUAAAUAAAUAGAAAAUUUCUUCAAACAUUUUUUUGAGAGGAUUAAUAUUCAACAGCAUAGUGAAUUGCUCAAAGGCAAAUAAAAAUUUUUAAGUUCAUUAAACGAUAUUCAUUAUGUGUCAGAAACCUAUGCUGUGUCAACUAUUUAAUCACAAUCCAAAUUUAGAGCUGAAUCCAGCUUGAAUGUUGUGUCCAUACUUGCCCC
rnacentral:lncRNA from 1 species